rnacentral:snRNA from 1 species
CCAUCAUCACAGCCUUUUGGCUUAGAUCAAGUACGUACUACCGCGAUCUCUGGUCUUUCAUCUACUAACUCUUCGCAGGUGUAGUGUAAGUUGCGCCGACAACGAAACGCGGCCUCGACCUCAACUAACAUGCUCCAGAUCUGUUCUUUGUAAGUCAAUGCAACACUUUCAAAGUCGACCUCAUACUGACAAUACCGCAGUCAGUUUAAUCUCUGAAACGUGGCUACGGCCACUUCAAUGAUUAUACUUAUUUUUGGCCUUGGAUGGGCGGCCGCUGGGCUUGCCUAUGUCGCCUGUCACUGUGUCGCUGGUAUUGCACUACCUCCAGCUGACGCGACUCAUU